CAUUAUCAGGUAAUUAAACCCUUUACAAUCAAUCAACCGGUUAAUUGUUAUCAUAAAAGUAAACAUUCAAUUAUAGAACGAAGCGUAGUUUCACAUAAAAUAUUCUCAUAUCAAUUCAAAUGUGUUUAUUUUGCACGCAGACCGACUCAACUCGAAUUAACACAUUUAUUCCAACCAGCACCAAUGAAAUUCCAUAUCGACAAUCUAAUUUGUUUUUUGUUAUUUGUUGCACACCGUACAACUGUUGUUAUUAUUCAAUUUACGGUGCUGGGUGCUAUUAUGUGAACUGUGAACGGUUUGGUUUUGUGUUUUAAGUUGACUAUAAAUGACUGAUGGACAUCGGUUCAUGUUCCAUUAAAGAAUCAACGUUCUAACUAACAAGAAUAUAAUACAAAGUUUGUAUCUUAUCUGAGUUCUAGUUGUGUCAGAAAGUGAAUUUCAUAAAAAUGGUUUGCAAAGGUUGUGGAACAAAUUGUCAAUGCACAUCCACAAAGUGUGGCACUGGAUGCAAGUGUGAUGCUCAGUGCAAUUGCCCGUGCAAGACACAAGAAAAAGGAAAGGAAGGAUGCUGCAACUGAAAUUUGAUCACUGUCGCUUAUCACAGUGUCCACUCCAAUAACUUCUGUAUUAUGUAACCGUAAUAAAAAUCAAUUAGAAGAAGCAAA